ACUCACGCACUGUACCCAUUCGUCCCCUUUGCACCAAAUCCCGCAGCCACCGCAAGCCUGCAGCUGCCCUCCUUCGGUCCUCCAUCCUCUCGCGCCCCCUCCCGCAUAGCCCCCUCCUUGCUUCCUCCUCAUCAUCGUAGCCGCCGCAUUCCUCCCUCUUCCUCCUCCUCGUCACCACAACCGAUGGUCCCCUCGCUCCUCCCCCAUCCUCCCUUCCACUGUCGCACGAACCUUCCGGGUCGGGGCGAGGCAGAAGGUUAUGGUGAAUCUGGCGCCUGCAGGCCUACGCAACAGGAUUUGGUGGAGCGGCGGAUGCAGAUGGGGUCGUUGACGGAGAUGUAGGAGCAAGGAGCUCGAGUUGGCUCAUGGCUUGCCUUUGCAUCUUCUUUCUCCCCCCUCCCCUUUUUCUCAUGGGUGAGGGCUUCGGCAGCAGCCAGCAGGUGCGCCAUGAGGAGUGGAAGGCCGAGUUUGUGUGACGACCAGAGCAACAGGAGCAAGGAGCCUCCUCCCUCUCCCUCUGAGUGGUUGAGGACUUCCUCAAGAAGAAAGAAGAAGGCCAAAUAGAAGAAGAAUUUGGCUCAAAGGUCUUGCGGAGGUGCCUCUGACCGUCUCUACUUUCCUAUUACUUUCUCCACCAUGCACAUUGGAAUUAGAUAAUAUAUGUUUUUUAAAACAUGGCGUGUACAGAUCUGAGGUUUUUAUUUGCAGGUAGUGAUUCUAUAUAUUAUGAUGUAGUCUGAUAUUUUAAGAUAUUCACAAAAGGAGUGUUUAAUAUGUCCACAUUUAUAUAACUAUGUAGUCAGGCAUAUUUCAUCUCUUUUCUUGAUCGAAUGAAGCACUGAUCUUGAUAACUUUAUCAGCUCCUUACAUUUGUUCAUGUAACUUCGGUUAGGCAAUGGAAAACUUAAUGUGGCUGGAGUUCUACGUGCAUUAAAUCUAAUUAUCCUUAUAUUUCAACUCCAAUGUCUCGGCCUUUAGAGGCUAUUCUGGUCUCACAGGGUGAAGGCAUGUUUGUACGUCAAUGAAAAUAGGGUACUCAUUUGUUUCUUGCUGGUUUAGGAUUUUGACAGUAGAAUGUGGUUUAGGAAAAGAUAUAUUUGUGGUUUAUUUUAUGUGCCUUAUAGAAGAUACAUUAUAUUAGCAUGUUAUUUAUCUUGCUGAUUUGGGGAUUUUGACAGUAGAAUGUGGUUCAGGAAAAGAUAUAUGUGUGGUUUCUUUUAUGUGCCUUAUAGAAGAUACAUUAUAUUAGCAUGUUAUGAUAAGAUAUGUUUAUAUGUAUAAUGUGGAUCCUUGAUAAGUAGACUAGCCUGAUCUCAUGGCAAUCUUUAUAGUAGACCAUGCUCUCUGUUAAUAUGGUCACUUCUAAAUUAAGUAUAUUUAACAGAGCUUUCAGUUUGUGUUUAUACCACAUUCUCUUACAAAUUUACAAUACAGUAUGUCCUAGAAAAGGCACCAGAUCACUUUAUGCCUUGCGUACAUGUUUUGGUAGAAACAAUGCAUCAAAGUCUUCUACAAACUCUUUGGAUUUGACAGCCGUACCGUAUCAGGUCAACAGUCCGGUGAAAAAUCAAUGGGGUAUGGUGGCGGCUAGAGGGCAGAGUCGGCCAUGAGUCACCGGAGUCAAACCAUAGACAAAGCAGAUAGGGUCGGUUACAUAUUGAUAAUAGCAUAUUUUCUGGGCAACACGCUUUUUUUUUCUUCUACUUGUUGUUUAUUAGUAGGCAGCAAAUGCCUUUUAAAAGAAAAAGGUGGUGGACAGGUGGCGUUCAUGGCCACCUUGCAAUCCUACAUUCAGGACUUAGUGUUUAAAUUUGGUUUUGCACUAUCAUUUUCAUUUCUUCUGUAAGUUUUUUACCUUGUGCUUUUUUCAGAUUGCAUAAUGUCCCCUCAGGUUUGAAUUGCUCUGAAGUUAUCAGGGCAUUUCCUUAUAGGGCUUGUUCGCAUUUAUUCAUGGAAGGUGAACUACCUGUUUCAAGAUUGUAACCCACCUAAAAAAUCCCCUCUGCCUUCCUGUUUUUAGUUGUGUAUGUCGCUCUGUAAAGAUUGGUCAGCCUGACUAUGAAAGGGUGCUUCAGAUUAGAAAAGAAUGGUUUUUCUUUGUGUAAUUUUCAGGACAAAUGAGGCUAUGGAGGAACUCAUAAAUGCCGUGCUAAAUUAUUAAUUAGCUGUAUUAUUGAUUUUUCAUUUUUUAAAGAUUAUUGAGCAACAAGUCAUGUAAAGUUACUACUGUAUUAUUAUAUUUCUAACUGCAUGAUCGAAACUGUACAUUCUGAAAGUAUAGGCUGUUAUAUCAUUACUUUGUAAAUAAAUCACAUGUUAACUUGCUGGUUCAGUUUAAAGCUGCGGGCAGAGGCUUGCGGUAGGGGAAAAAUAAUAAUUGUGCUAGUUGAAAACCAAAGCGUUUAUUUGUGACUGUAUAAUCUGGACUACACUUUUAUGAAAGUAUGUUAGGCUCCUGCUCUUGGGAGAUUAAGAGUUGUUGUGGUUUUGCUUUGUUCAGUGUCCCGAAGGGAGCUCACGUGCUACGGUUAGUUCACGUGCUAAAAAACCAAUCUCUGCGAAAAUAGCUUGCUCAUUUUAGUUAUAUUGAUUAAUAGCAUCUCUAUGUUAUUAGAUACUCCCUCCGUUCUUUUUCAACUGCUUAGAUCAUAUUUCAUUCCAAUGCUUGCUUUGGUUUGUCCAAAGUUUAUGUUCAGAGAUUAUGCUUCAAAGAUAUGUUCGGAUAUCCUACAAAAAAAGUAAGAUGAUCGCCCAAUUCUAGCUUCAUCUGCUUUACCUAAUAUAUAAGUUUUUGAUAUUUAUUUAUUUAGAUCACCUGAGUUCUAGGCAGUGAGUACUAGAAAGCAUUAUCACGUUUCAGUGCAUUUUCGUACUUUGUGAAGCAUUUCAGUUUUAUGGAUACAGGCAUUCAGUUGAGAAUUGAGAACAAUUUUGUUUGACUUUUUCAGAUGAUAAUUUUUAUCAGUUAUAGUUACAAUUACUAGAAGUAGCAAAGGUCUGGGUUAAUUUAGAGCUUGAGUUGGCAGCUAUGCUUUUUUGCAUUCCAGAUUAUGCAAAGAGAUUGCCAUAUUUUCUUUUAUUUCGGUUUAGUUCAUUCCCUUAUAUAUCCAGUUGUUUUCCGCAGAACAAAUAUAAAUGUUCAUGUUGUAAUGGAUGGAUAUGUUGAUGGCAUUGUCAUGUCAUGUAAAUUAUAUGCAGAACAAAUCUAUAUUUUUGUUGGUACUAAAAGUGAAAACGAUAUUUGGGACCAAAACUUUUCAAAUAGAUCUGAAUAUGAAUUGGGACCUUGUGUUGUUUGGGGUGGAGCUGCAGGGAGUGAGAGGCGGAUAACAAUAGGGCGUAGAAGCAUGCCAUCGAGGAGUGAAAGCAGCGGCACUCCUUCGCAAUGGGGUGUGGCUGCAGGGGAGGGGAGGCGGCCAACGACGGGGAGAAUGAGCAGGUCGUCAAGGAGUGCAAGCAGCAGGAUUAAUUUAGGCCCAUACAGUUUCUGUUGACUGGAAGUCUGAAACUGAAGAUAGGGCAUAUUGUUUUGGUUCUGAGUGGUUGGGGAUAUUGUGGAUUGAUGUCCCUAGAGCAGUCAGACCCUUCCAAGAUAGGUGCUAAAAUCCUAGGUGUCAAGGGCAUUGUGGUGGCGCGAUCCAUGUCUACUGCGAUCGCUCGGCAUGGCGUCCAUAGCCCCUUUUGCUGCAUUCUUUGUUUUUCGGAAAAUAUGUUCUUGCUUGAGGGUGAAUAUGUUCAUGAUUCAUAAUCAUUGUAUCUGAUUUAUAAGAAACAGUGAGAUGCUUUGUUAUGAGUUACGAUAUAGGCUUUGUAAAAUUUGCAUGCAAUUUGUUGAUGGUUAGGCUUCGAGCUCCAUUUCAAUAACUUUAGAGCUUUUUUUUUAUCCUCUCGAAUUUUCUCAUCUAUUACAGUGAAUUACUGCAGAUCCAUUUUACAUAUACAGUCCAAGGAGGCAAAGUCUUGUGGCUUAAUAUCAUUUAAAACCCGUCUUUCAUUAAUAUGGCCAUUCCUUUGUCUUAAUCUUGCUAUGGUUAACUCCCUGGCUACAACAUUAUUGAGAGUGGAUGCAAGAUUUGUUGUGUUUCCCAAUGCGUCGUUCUGUACAAUUCUUGGCAUCAACGUUGAUGCCUAUAUGAAAGUCUAUACACCUUUGUAAUGUAAUCUUGUGCAUGUCAAUGGCACCCGCAGUGGUUUAAAAGA